GACGAACGCUGGCGGCGUGCCUAACACAUGCAAGUCGAACGGGAUCCAUGGAGUGCUUGCACUCCGGAAGAUCUAGUGGCGAACGGGUGAGUAACACGUGAGAAACCUGCCCCAGACUCUGGGAUAACCUCGGGAAACCGAAGCUAAUACCGGAUAUUCUCCUUUGGUCGCAUGGCCAGUUGAGGAAAGUUUUUCGGUCUGGGAGGGUCUCGCGGCCUAUCAGCUAGUUGGUGGGGUAACGGCCCACCAAGGCUACGACGGGUAGCUGGUUUGAGAGAACGAUCAGCCACACUGGAACUGAGACACGGUCCAGACUCCUACGGGAGGCAGCAGUGGGGAAUCUUGCGCAAUGGGCGAAAGCCUGACGCAGCAACGCCGCGUGCGGGAUGAAGGCCUUCGGUUGUAA
rnacentral:rRNA from 1 species